AGAUGCCACCUCCUCUGACCUUGUAGCAGAGAGAUGGAAUCCCUUCCUCUAUGCCACACUCCUCUGCUUCUAUUGCAGCCAGAGUCCCUCUUUAUUGGGGUGGAUCAGGAGGCUUGAACUAGAGAAAGAAAUCACAUCUGUCCCGGCAGGGAAAGGAAAGGUGAAACCACAGAAUCUGCUGUAUGAACCAUGAACUACCAAUGCAAGUUUGCCUUGAAAAUGUGAUUCCGGAUACCUGUCUUAACAUCUGAUGAGAGUGACACUCUAGGAAACCUUCCAACCAUGAAAGCUUGUAGAACCCAACCUCAGCUGAUGACAAUCAGGAGAAUUUUCCUGCAGGUGACCCACCUCUUCAAGAACCAGACUCCCAGGUUCUGUUCACAGAUACCACCCUGGACUUGCUGCUGUUUCUACCAGUCAGGAGCAUUGAAAGCCAUGAUC